rnacentral:rRNA from 1 species
GACGAACGCUGGCGGCGUGCUUAACACAUGCAAGUCGAACGGGAGUAUCGAAGAAGCUUGCUUUUAAGAUACUGUAGUGGCGGACGGGUGAGUAACGCGUGAGGAGCUGUCCUAUGCAGGGGGACAACAGUUGGAAACGACUGCUAAUACCCCAUAAGCCGAGAGGUAAAAGGAUUUAUCCGGCAAAGGAGGUACUCGCGUCCUAUCAGCUAGUAGGUGAGGUAACGGCUCACCUAGGCGAAGACGGGUAGCCGGCCUGAGAGGGCGAACGGCCACACUGGAACGGAGAUACGGUCCAGACUCCUACGGGAGGCAGCAGUGGGGAAUAUUGGGCAAUGGGGGCAACCCUGACCCAGCGACGCCGCGUGGGUGAAGAAAUCCUUCGGGAUGUAAGGCCCUGUUGUAUGGGAAGAGCAGAAGACGGUACCAUACGAGGAAGCCCCGGCAAACUACGUGCCAGCAGCCGCGGUAACAC